rnacentral:rRNA from 1 species
UUUGGUCAUUUAGAGGAAGUAAAAGUCGUAACAAGGUUUCCGUAGGUGAACCUGCGGAAGGAUCAUUACCGAGUUUUCGGGCUUCGGCUCGACUCUCCCACCCUUUGUGAACGUACCUCUGUUGCUUUGGCGGCUUCGGCCGCCAAAGGACCUUCAAACUCCAGUCAGUAAACGCAGACGUCUGAUAAACAAGUUAAUAAACUAAAACUUUCAACAACGGAUCUCUUGGUUCUGGCAUCGAUGAAGAACGCAGCGAAAUGCGAUAAGUAAUGUGAAUUGCAGAAUUCAGUGAAUCAUCGAAUCUUUGAACGCACAUUGCGCCCCUUGGUAUUCCGGGGGGCAUGCCUGUUCGAGCGUCAUUACAACCCUCAAGCUCUGCUUGGAAUUGGGCACCGUCCUCACUGCGGACGCGCCUCAAAGACCUCGGCGGUGGCUGUUCAGCCCUCAAGCGUAGUAGAAUACACCUCGCUUUGGAGCGGUUGGCGUCGCCCGCCGGACGAACCUUCUGAACUUUUCUCAAGGUUGACCUCGGAUCAGGUAGGGAUACCCGCUGAACUUAAGCAUAUCAAUAAGCGGAGGA